AGAUUUGCCUAUGAGUACCAGUGCCACUUGCCAGCGUGUCCUCCUCUGUGUGUGCAAGUGUGAGGGUCAGCAACAUCAAAUCAACAACCACCCACACACAAGUCUGAAUCAGCUGUCUACUCAACCAUCUAAGGGGGAAAACACUCUGAUGUCAGUCAGACCAUCAAGACUGAGCUUUGCAAACCAAGAGCCACUCUUUAGGUCACCAGCAGCGGUCAGCGAUCUGACCGGGUCUCUGGUCUGGACAGCAGCCCUCUUGACAGAGGAACACACACACCAAGAGCAUGUCUGACCAGUGUACCAAGGCAGUCAGAUUCACAAUGAGCUCUGCUGCUAAAGAAGCCAUCCUUUGGGGGUCAAGUGUCAGUGGGAGGUCUGAUCGGUUGUCUUGGGAAGUCAUUAUGAACCUACCUGGACAAGGAAUUGUACCAGGUGGUCAUUUGACAUGUUCUCCAAGACAACCUGACUGAGAAGCGAUGCCUAAGUCCUCCUUCUCUGUCUCCUUUUCAAUUGUUUUUUUUUUGACGUCAUAUACAAAAUAUUUAAAAUAUAUAAAAUGUAUCUGAGUUAUCAGAUUAUAAUUAAAUUAGAGGAGGGUAUAAUGUACUCUAUCUCUAAUGCCAGGAUAAACUCAGAGGAUUUAGACAGUCCCCUGCAUCAGAGGACUCAAGCAAUGAGAUGGAAUGGGUAUGUUCACCUGCAUAACGCACACACCCCAGUUUGACCAGAGAUCUGUCAGAUAAAAUAGUUUCCACUUUUCAAACAGUUUGAAUCUGAGCGCCCAAUUACAUUUCCCAUACUAAAGCAGGCAACUAGAGAUGAACAUGAGGACAUCACCAACAUGCUGGAGGGACUGCAUCUGAGUGAGGAGAUGGAGUGGACACCUCAGACGGAUCCUGUAGAUGACGCCACCCAGAGGGCUGACAGACCUCAGCUGAAUCACUAUGAGGAGGAGAUGGACUGGGCAUGACGGGGUAAGUCAAACACAUUCUUCAUUCCAAACAGCUCAUUCUAAAACAGUUUUGUUCAGUUGCACGACAAUAAUAAUAAAUAAAAAAAAGUCUAUGUAGAAUAUUGGCCUAUACAUUGUCUGCAUCUUUAGAAACCAUAUUUUACAGGCGCCUAAGGAUUCUUCCAGUGACUUGGCAGAACGUCUGCAGUGCCUGCCGAUGGGAGCGGAGGGAGAGGAGAUGGAAAAUGCCGAGCGUGACUGUGGUGUUCCCUAUUUUCACCGUUUGAAAGACCAGCAGAUCACAUCUCCAGUGGACUGUAAAUAAUGUAUUUAAAAGUGUAAAUUGUACAUCUGACACUGUGAACCAUAUUGCUGAGUUUAAAACGGCUCUAGUAGCCUCUGGGCUCUCAUGCUCACAGUGACUUUUCCUGCUUGUGAAUUAUAACCUAUGAUUUGAUGAUGUUUGUUUUUAUAAUGUAUAUAUGUGCAUGUAUGUAUGUUUACUAAUAGACGGGUGGUGGUGGUGGUUGUACUGGAUCAAAGUAAAUGUGACAUACAUCACUUCA